UUGGAGGGCAAGUCUGGUGCCAGCAGCCGCGGUAAUUCCAGCUCCAAUAGCGUAUAUUAAAGUUGUUGCAGUUAAAAAGCUCGUAGUUGAAUUUCGGGGCCAGUAGGUUGGUCGUGCCACUGGUAUGCACUGGCCUUACUGGUCCCUCCUUCUUGUAGAACCGUGAUGGCAUUAAUUUGUUGUUGCGGGGAAACAGGACUGUUACUUUGAAAAAAUUAGAGUGCUUAAAGCAGGCUCGCGCUUGAAUAUAUUAGCAUGGAAUAACGAAAUAGGACGAUCGAACCUAUUUUGUUGGUUUCUAGGAUCGACGUAAUGAUUAAUAGGGAUAGUUGGGGGCAUUAGUAUUCAAUUGUCAGAGGUGAAAUUCUUGGAUUUAUUGAAGACUAACUACUGCGAAAGCAUUUGCCAAGGAUGUUUUCAUUAAUCAAGAACGAAAGUUAGGGGAUCGAAGACGAUCAGAUACCGUCGUAGUCUUAACCAUAAACUAUGCCGACUAGGGAUCGGAUGAAGUUAAUUUUUUAAUGACUCAUUCGGCGCCUUACGGGAAAC
rnacentral:rRNA from 1 species